rnacentral:lncRNA from 1 species
AACAGCUGACCUCUGCCUUGCCUUGAGAUUCAUAUUUAUUCCCCUAUCCUUUUCUAACUUAGCCAUUGUCUGUUCUUUGUUUACAGCACUCUGGUGUACCAGAAAAUACGAUUUAAAGAACCAUACAAUCUGGAAGCAAUUCUGUCCGGUGGUUGGAAACACGAGGAGAUCAUCAUUUCGCCCUAAAUAUUUCAUCACCGAAGAACCCUAUAAUUUUAUACAUCACUCAAGUCCUUGCAUAGGAAAUGCGUAAGCGCAGGUUGAAUAAGAAGGUCCCGAAAGAGUUUGCGAAAUCCAGAUCCACCACAAAUCAGACGGACGCCUUCCUCCUCCUCCUCUUCCUCCAGGGUCAGCAAGGAGCGGACUCCCUCACUCUUCCACCAGAGGAUCCUUUUGCUUUUGUCAGGUCUACCAGGAGGGGCCAUUGGUGGAGGAACGUCACGUGACUGAGGGGUGCCAAUGUUAUUCUUUAAGGGUGUCAAGACCCUGUCAGUUUGUGAAAU